rnacentral:tRNA from 1 species
CAGGACGUGGCCGAGACAGUUAGGCAUCUCACUUACACCGAGUAUUACACCCAUGCAAGUUGGGUCGUUCUGA